rnacentral:tRNA from 1 species
AAGAUUUUAAGUUAAUAAAACUACUAGCCUUCAAAGCUAGAAAUAAAAAAAAUUUUUUAAAUCUUA